rnacentral:rRNA from 1 species
GACGAACGCUGGCGGCGUGCCUAAUACAUGCAAGUCGAGCGGACUGAAUGGGAGCUUGCUCUUGUUCGGUCAGCGGCGGACGGGUGAGUAACACGUGGGCAACCUGCCCGCAAGACCGGGAUAACUCCGGGAAACCGGAGCUAAUACCGGAUAACACCGAAGACCGCAUGGUCUUUGGGUGAAAGGCGGCGCAAGCUGCCACUUGCGGAUGGGCCCGCGGCGCAUUAGCUAGUUGGUGAGGUCACGGCUCACCAAGGCGACGAUGCGUAGCCGGCCUGAGAGGGUGCCCGGCCACACUGGGACUGCGACACGGCCCAGACUCCUACGGGAGGCAGCAGUAGGGAAUCUUCCGCAAUGGGCGAAAGCCUGACGGAGCGACGCCGCGUGAGCGAAGAAGGCCUUCGGGUCGUAAAGCUCUGUUGUGAGGGACGAAGGAGCGCCGUUUGAAGAAGGCGGCGCGGUGACGGUACCUCACGAGGAAGCCCCGGCUAACUACGUG